AACGAGCAUAAUUCGAUGAGAAACGAAGAAACGAAAUGAAAACCCAGUGAAAGGACACUCGGUAUAAGCGAGAUAUAGCCUUUGCAGUAAUUAUGGACCAGGUUAUUCGGCUUGCUAUUUCUUUUUGUAAGAAACAACCAAUAGGGCCCAAUUCCACCUUCGUGGGCUAUUGGCCGACUGGCCUUAUUAUUUAUCUUUCAGUUACAUCGUCACCUUUCCACCUUGGAUUUUCUCAACAAAAAGAAAACUAUCCUCCUCCGUUUUGAGCUUUUCUCCUUUAAAAAAAAAGUCAAGCUUUUCAAAAAGCAGGAAGUUAGCGUUAGGACAACCCACCUGUAGGAAUGAAUCUUUUGUUCUUUCAGCUUGCGUAGGGAUCUUUGUUGACCUUGGCAGAAAGAGACCGGCAUCGGCAUCAGCAUGGCACACCCUGCCUCUAAACCGUGCACGACUCCGUCGAUCUUUGGUGCACCAAGCAAGCCAGAUAACAUUAGGUGGCCACGUAAUUGCGACCCCUCCCAGCAAACGGCGACAUCAGGAAUUUAAAGAAACGGCCACAUCAGAGCCUUUAAUCCUGACGAGUCGGCGGCUAACGUUACCUGCAACCCACGGCAACAGCAGACCAAGAUCAGAUCAGGACCUGCAAACAAAAUCUGCAAGCGACCGACUUGCCCCACGUGAAUCUCAAAGCAUCCCGUGCACGUACGCCCUCGACUUGCGUCCCCGGGAAAACGACCUGCCCACGAGAGCUCCACGUCGCCGUCGGACCAUGACCCACCGGACCUUUCUCCUAGCUGCCGCUGCGUCACAGCUUGUAGCCUUGGACGCGGACGAAACCGUCGCCCACACGGGUCGCCAUCGUCGACGCUCACGUAUGGCGAACAUCAAAGCCGCCGCCGCCGCUUCACGUGUGUCCGGCGCACGGUGGAGGGACGGCGAGCCCGAUCGCGCCACAUUCGCAGAGGAAGACGACCGUGCGGCUGAUCCAAUCAGAUCGAGAUGAUCUUUUUUUUAGGUGUCCCGUCCACAGGUGUGAUAGAUACAUGCGUAAAUCGGGGUCAGAUUUGUUGCCAAAAGGAAAAUCGGGGUGAACGGAGUACUAAAAGUUGUCUUGGCUUUCCCUUCCUCGAACUAGUAGUACGAGGG
rnacentral:lncRNA from 1 species